UAAAACAGUUUUCUCUCUCUUCAUUCCUGUUUCAUCCCUUGUAUCCUGCGGUAUUUCCCAUUGUCAAAUUCAGUCCAGCUCACUAGUAUCUGUUAAAAUUCACACCGGCGGAAGCUUGGCACACAAAGUCUCAGCUCAGGAUGGAAACAAAGAAAAGGAAAGAAAUGAAUCACUUUCCAUUAAAAAUGG